rnacentral:misc_RNA from 1 species
AGAACCAUAGAUCCAUCCAAUCUCAGUUCCCCAUUCUGAUUUAUCUUCAUAACCACAACUGAUAACAUGAAUAGCCUCUUUCAAAAGGGUCUCCGGUGUAGCCGAUUGAGGAACACCGCCAUUCUCCAUGAGUGUUGAAGCAACAAAAACAGCUGAUUGCCCAAAUCUCUUCUCCAGGCUCAUUUGUGACAUGAGAAGUGACUUCUCAUCAUCAAAUCCA